rnacentral:snRNA from 1 species
AGACUCUAUAAACGACAGCUAUU